rnacentral:rRNA from 1 species
UCACCCUACGGGAGGCAGCAGUGAGGAAUAUUGGUCAAUGGUCGGGAGACUGAACCAGCCAAGCCGCGUGAGGGAGGAAGGUACAGAGUAUCGUAAACCUCUUUUGUCAGGGAACAAAGGCGGGGACGUGUCCCCGGAUGAGUGUACCUGAAGAAAAAGCAUCGGCUAACUCCGUGCCAGCAGCCGCGGUAAUACGGAGGAUGCGAGCGUUAUCCGGAUUUAUUGGGUUUAAAGGGUGCGUAGGCGGAAUAUCAAGUCAGCGGUAAAAAUUCGGGGCUCAACCCCGUCGUGCCGUUGAAACUGAU